GUUAUGACACGGUGGGGUUGAACAAAACUUAAAUAGAGUCGCGACACCACCUCUGAUUUUUUUUCAUGUUCUCAUUGAGGGACUCGAGUACUAUAAGAAACCACAUUCAGCUCGCGGAUCCAUCCAGACGACUGCAGCUACACGUAUUCAUUGUA